rnacentral:rRNA from 1 species
CUAAGAAUAUUCCGCAAUGGACGAAAGUCUGACGGAGCGACGCCGCAUGGAUGACGAAGGCCGAAAGGUUGUAAAGUCCUUUUGCUGGGGAAGAAUAACCAUGGGAGGGAAUGCCCGUGGGAUGACAUGAACCGGCGAAUAAGCCCCGGCUAACUACGUGCCAGCAGCCGCGGUAACACGUAGGGGGCGAGCGUUGUUCGGACUUGCUGGGCGUGAAGGGAAUGUAGGCGGCUCUGUAAGCCUGGCGUGAAAGUCACCGGCUCAACCGGUGGAUGGCGCUGGGAACUGCGGGGCUUGAAUCAUGGAGAGGGAGCUAGAAUUCCAGGUGUAGGGGUGAAAUCUGUAGAGAUCUGGAAGAAUACCAGUGGCGAAGGCGAGCUCCUGGCCAAUGAUUGACGCUGAGGUGCGAAAGUGUGGGGAUCAAACA